rnacentral:rRNA from 1 species
GAUGAACGCUGGCGGCGUGCUUAACACAUGCAAGUCGAACGAAGCACUUUAACCUGAUUCUUCGGAUGAAGGUUUUUGUGACUGAGUGGCGGACGGGUGAGUAACGCGUGGGUAACCUGCCUCAUACAGGGGGAUAACAGUUAGAAAUGACUGCUAAUACCGCAUAAGACCACAGAGCCGCAUGGCUCGGUGGGAAAAACUCCGGUGGUAUGAGAUGGACCCGCGUCUGAUUAGGUAGUUGGUGGGGUAACGGCCUACCAAGCCAACGAUCAGUAGCCGACCUGAGAGGGUGACCCGCCACAUUGGGACUGAGACACGGCCCAAACUCCUACGGGAGGCAGCAGUGGGGAAUAUUGCACAAUGGGGGAAACCCUGAUGCAGCGACGCCGCGUGAGCGAAGAAGUAUUUCGGUAUGUAAAGCUCUAUCAGCAGGGAAGAAAAUGACGGUACCUGACUAAGAAGCACCGGCUAACUACGUG